GAUGAAGAACGUAGCGAAAUGCGAUAAGUAGUGUGAAUUGCAGAAUUCAGUGAAUCAUCGAAUCUUUGAACGCACAUUGCGCCCCUCGGUAUUCCGUGGGGCAUGCCUGUUCGAGCGUCAUUUACACCCUCAAGCUCUGCUUGGUGUUGGGCGUCUGUCCCGCCUCCGUGCGCGGACUCGCCUCAAAGUCAUUGGCAGCGGUCUCGUCGGCUUCUCGCGCAGCACAUAUGCGCUUCUUGGAGCCCCGGCGGAUCAGCGUCCAGCAAGCAAGUUCAUGACUUGACCUCGGAUCAGGUAGGGAUACCCGCUGAACUUAAGCAUAUCAAUAAGCGGAGGA
rnacentral:misc_RNA from 1 species